rfam:Camelus ferus unplaced genomic scaffold scaffold390, whole genome shotgun sequence.
GAGGGUAAAGCUCAGUGGUGGAGUGCAUGCUUAGAAUGCACAAGGUCCUGGGUUCAAUCCCCAGCACCUCCA